rnacentral:rRNA from 1 species
CGUGAAGAGGGAAACAACCCAGACCGCCAGCUAAGGUCCCAAAGUCAUGGUUAAGUGGGAAACGAUGUGGGAAGGCCCAGACAGCCAGGAUGUUGGCUUAGAAGCAGCCAUCAUUUAAAGAAAGCGUAAUAGCUCACUGGUCGAGUCGGCCUGCGCGGAAGAUGUAACGGGGCUAAACCAUGCACCGAAGCUGCGGCAGCGACACUGUGUGUUGUUGGGUAGGGGAGCGUUCUGUAAGCCUGUGAAGGUGUGUCGUGAGGCAUGCUGGAGGUAUCAGAAGUGCGAAUGCUGACAUAAGUAACGAUAAAGCGGGUGAAAAGCCCGCUCGCCGGAAGACCAAGGGUUCCUGUCCAACGUUAAUCGGGGCAGGGUGAGUCGACCCCUAAGGCGAGGCCGAAAGGCGUAGUCGAUGGGAAACGGGUUAAUAUUCCCGUACUUGGUGUUACUGCGAAGGGGGGACGGAGAAGGCUAUGUUGGCCGGGCGACGGUUGUCCCGGUUUAAGCGUGUAGGUGUGUGUUCCAGGUAAAUCCGGUUCACUUUAACACUGAGGCGUGACGACGAGGCACUACGGUGCUGAAGCAACAAAUGCCCUGCUUCCAGGAAAAGCCUCUAAGCAUCAGGUAACAUCAAAUCGUACCCCAAACCGACACAGGUGGUCAGGUAGAGAAUACCAAGGCGCUUGAGAGAACUCGGGUGAAGGAACUAGGCAAAAUGGUGCCGUAACUUCGGGAGAAGGCACGCUGACACGUAGGUGAAGUGAUUUACUCAUGGAGCUGAAGUCAGUCGAAGAUACCAGCUGGCUGCAACUGUUUAUUAAAAACACAGCACUGUGCAAACACGAAAGUGGACGUAUACGGUGUGACGCCUGCCCGGUGCCGGAAGGUUAAUUGAUGGGGUCAGCGCAAGCGAAGCUCCUGAUCGAAGCCCCGGUAAACGGCGGCCGUAACUAUAACGGUCCUAAGGUAGCGAAAUUCCUUGUCGGGUAAGUUCCGACCUGCACGAAUGGCGUAAUGAUGGCCAGGCUGUCUCCACCCGAGACUCAGUGAAAUUGAACUCGCUGUGAAGAUGCAGUGUACCCGCGGCAAGACGGAAAGACCCCGUGAACCUUUACUAUAGCUUGACACUGAACAUUGAGCCUUGAUGUGUAGGAUAGGUGGGAGGCUUUGAAGUGUGGACGCCAGUCUGCAUGGAGCCGACCUUGAAAUACCACCCUUUAAUGUUUGAUGUUCUAACGUGGACCCGUUACCCGGGUUGCGGACAGUGUCUGGUGGGUAGUUUGACUGGGGCGGUCUCCUCCUAAAGAGUAACGGAGGAGCACGAAGGUUGGCUAAUCCUGGUCGGACAUCAGGAGGUUAGUGCAAUGGCAUAAGCCAGCUUGACUGCGAGCGUGACGGCGCGAGCAGGUGCGAAAGCAGGUCAUAGUGAUCCGGUGGUUCUGAAUGGAAGGGCCAUCGCUCAACGGAUAAAAGGUACUCCGGGGAUAACAGGCUGAUACCGCCCAAGAGUUCAUAUCGACGGCGGUGUUUGGCACCUCGAUGUCGGCUCAUCACAUCCUGGGGCUGAAGUAGGUCCCAAGGGUAUGGCUGUUCGCCAUUUAAAGUGGUACGCGAGCUGGGUUUAGAACGUCGUGAGACAGUUCGGUCCCUAUCUGCCGUGGGCGCUGGAGAACUGAGGGGGGCUGCUCCUAGUACGAGAGGACCGGAGUGGACGCAUCACUGGUGUUCGGGUUGUCAUGCCAAUGGCACUGCCCGGUAGCUAAAUGCGGAAGAGAUAAGUGCUGAAAGCAUCUAAGCACGAAACUUGCCCCGA